AACUGCCUGAUGGAGGGGGAUAACUACUGGAAACGGUAGCUAAUACCGCAUAACGUCGCAAGACCAAAGAGGGGGACCUUCGGGCCUCUUGCCAUCAGAUGUGCCCAGAUGGGAUUAGCUAGUAGGUGGGGUAACGGCUCACCUAGGCGACGAUCCCUAGCUGGUCUGAGAGGAUGACCAGCCACACUGGAACUGAGACACGGUCCAGACUCCUACGGGAGGCAGCAGUGGGGAAUAUUGCACAAUGGGCGCAAGCCUGAUGCAGCCAUGCCGCGUGUAUGAAGAAGGCCUUCGGGUUGUAAAGUACUUUCAGCGGGGAGGAAGGCGAUGUGGUUAAUAACCGCGUCGAUUGACGUUACCCGCAGAAGAAGCACCGGCUAACUCCGUGCCAGCAGCCGCGGUAAUACGGAGGGUGCAAGCGUUAAUCGGAAUUACUGGGCGUAAAGCGCACGCAGGCGGUCUGUCAAGUCGGAUGUGAAAUCCCCGGGCUCAACCUGGGAACUGCAUCCGAAACUGGCAGGCUUGAGUCUCGUAGAGGGGGGUAGAAUUCCAGGUGUAGCGGUGAAAUGCGUAGAGAUCUGGAGGAAUACCGGUGGCGAAGGCGGCCCCCUGGACGAAGACUGACGCUCAGGUGCGAAAGCGUGGGGAGC
rnacentral:rRNA from 1 species